rnacentral:rRNA from 1 species
AGUGAACGCUGGCGGCAGGCCUAAUACAUGCAAGUCGAACGAACAGAUAGUGAGCUUUCGCCUCUAACGGUAGCGACUGACGGAUGAGUGAGGCGUGGAUAACCUACCUAUAAUACUGGGGGAACUUCGUGAGGCCACAUCUAAUACCAUAUAAUAUGUUAAACGGCAGAGAGCAAUAGUUAAUGACAGUUUGGCUGUCACUUAGAGAUGGAGCCGCGCCGCAUUGGCUAGUUGGUAAGGUAACGGCUUACCAAGGCAACGAUGCGUAGCCGACCUGAGAGGGUGAUCGGCCACACUGGAACUGAGACACGGUCCAGACUCCUACGGGAGGCAGCAGUAGGGAAUAUUGCGCAAUGGGCGCAAGCCUGACGCAGCAACGCCGCGUGAGUGAUGAAGGUCUUCGGAUCGUAAAACCCUGUUAUUAGGGAAGAAAAACUGUGUAAGAAAACAUGCACGUUCUGACGGUACCCAAUCAGAAAGCACCGGCUAACUACGUG